AGUGGCGAACGGGUGAGUAACACGUGGGCAAUCUGCCCUGCACUCUGGGACAAGCCCUGGAAACGGGGUCUAAUACCGGAUACUGACUACUGGGGGCAUCUUCAGUGGUCGAAAGCUCCGGCGGUGCAGGAUGAGCCCGCGGCCUAUCAGCUUGUUGGUGAGGUAGUGGCUCACCAAGGCGACGACGGGUAGCCGGCCUGAGAGGGCGACCGGCCACACUGGGACUGAGACACGGCCCAGACUCCUACGGGAGGCAGCAGUGGGGAAUAUUGCACAAUGGGCGAAAGCCUGAUGCAGCGACGCCGCGUGAGGGAUGACGGCCUUCGGGUUGUAAACCUCUUUCAGCAGGGAAGAAGCGAAAGUGACGGUACCUGCAGAAGAAGCGCCGGCUAACUACGUGCCAGCAGCCGCGGUAAUACGUAGGGCGCGAGCGUUGUCCGGAAUUAUUGGGCGUAAAGAGCUCGUAGGCGGCUUGUCACGUCGGUUGUGAAAGCCCGGGGCUUAACCCCGGGUCUGCAGUCGAUACGGGCAGGCUAGAGUUCGGUAGGGGAGAUCGGAAUUCCUGGUGUAGCGGUGAAAUGCGCAGAUAUCAGGAGGAACACCGGUGGCGAAGGCGGAUCUCUGGGCCGAUACUGACGCUGAGGAGCGAAAGCGUGGGGAGCGAACAGGAUUAGAUACCCUGGUAGUCCACGCCGUAAACGGUGGGCACUAGGUGUGGGCAACAUUCCACGUUGUCCGUGCCGCAGCUAACGCAUUAAGUGCCC
rnacentral:rRNA from 1 species